rnacentral:tRNA from 1 species
CCGACGCUUUAGUCNACUCCCCCAUCUCUCC